CAGAAACUAGCUGGAGCAGCAGCACCUAAAUAUCAGCAGAAAAUAGUAACAAAACAUCACUUGUCUGCACUCUAUUCCUCCACCCAUGUCUUCACACAUCUGCUAACUGCCACGUAGACAGAGGUUGUACUUUUCUAUAAAAGCUGAAACCCAACUCCGUUUGUUGGGCUCCUAACUCUGCACCAUUGAGUGAUUUGUUUACCGCUUCAGAUUUAAAAGUCCUAUAAUAAAGUUGAUGUUUUAAGAAUCUACAGUCUCUCUUCAUUUCCACAACAAUUCUUGGAGACAAGGAUGAGAUGGCUAAUUCCGCUUGCUGAUCGUUCCCAGGGACACCAAGGUUAACUGUGCAUAGAGGCUAGGUUAGACGUGGCUCAGGGAGCCCACACUUCUAUUGAGAGGAGCAGAAGGGAACUGCCUCGGACCCGGCAGGGAGUAAGGCGCCAUCCCGAAAAUACAGAGUUAAGGGGCCGGAUCGAGGAACGGGAAUGCAGACGCGCUGUCCCGACGCGACCAAGAUGGUGCGUCUGGAGCCAGACCCUCCGGUUCAGUCCUGGGGGGGAAGAGAGAGAAUGGAACCAGUAGAGAGGGGAGGGGAAAACUAUCUCUGGAAGAUGACCACCGAGACAGAGGAGCUAUCCAGGAAGAACCACUAAGACGGGUAAAAGCUGCUUUACCUGGACCACUCCACAAACUUCAGCCAGGCGAUUGGGUGGUCAUCAAGGACCUCCGCAGAAAUACUAGGCACCAACAGCGCUGGACUGGUCUAUUCCAGGUGCUCCAGACAACACAGACAGCGUUGUCUGCAGAGAGGAUGCAGAGAGGUCUUAGGUUCACGUCAGCCACUGCAGGGAGGUUCCCCACGCCAGGUGACGAAUUGUCGUCGGCGACUCUAGUGGCCAUGGGAAGACCAGGACUGGACUCAAAGCAUAAUUUCGUACACUAGAGUUGAGGAACAAUGGGAAAGUCAUUCUGCUUUGAAAGUUGAUAAACUUAACCUCACUUUUGAAAAAAUGGCCCUUGAAUGAUUGGUAAACCUACUGGAGAGCUCUUUGUCUACACCCAUUCAGCAUCGUUCACACCCUCUUAAGCCUUAACCCCCUGCUCAACACUUUAAGGAUUAACAUGUGAGGCCAUGUACUAAACAACCAAAGAUUUCAAGAAUAGAGGCUGGUUUAUACUACGGGUGUAUUUGUAAAUUGUUAUGGAGAUUCACAUGGUUAAGGUAAUGGUAAGAUAAUGAUUAAUACGUUCCAAUUAAUGUUAAGGCCAUAACUAACAGUAUUCCACCCUGUCACUGUAUGAUGGAGUAAAAUGUGUUUGAAUCAUAAGACUAGAAUUCUUGAUUGUAUGUGAAAAAAGAGGAACAAAAAAAAAGAAUAAAAAAAGAGGAACUGUUACCAGACAAGAGACUGUGGCAGACAACUUGUGACAACUGUGAAACUGAUAACAGGGAAGGAGGUCUCCCCACCCAGGAAGGGGAGAAACCGUUGGGCUUGCCGUAGAUUGUGUAACAUGUUGCAGGAUAUGAUAAGCAAGGUAUGUGUUGGAGAAACCUUGUAAACAGCAUUGACAGUGUUAGAGAGGAGGGGCAUUUAUAUUACCAAAUGUGAGGUAUAAAAGGCUAUGUGCAUUGUAUGAUUUUUUGCGCUCUUGUGAAUAAACCUUCUGACUAUAA